rnacentral:rRNA from 1 species
UACGUAGGGUCCAAGCGUUAUCCGGAAUCACUGGGCGUAAAGCGUGCGUAGGCGGUUUGUUAAGUGAGAUGUGAAAUCGUGUGGCUCAACCAUAUCGUUGUGUCUCAUACUGGCAAACUAGAGGAUAGCAGAGGCAAGUGGAAUUACGAGUGUAGCAGUGAAAUGCGUAGAUAUCGAGAGGAACACCAGAGGUGAAGACGGGUUGCUGGGCUGACACUGACGCUGAGGCGCGAAAGCCAGGGGAGCAAACGGG